rnacentral:misc_RNA from 1 species
GUGAAUUAAACAUGCUUGGUGUCUUCGCUUCGGCAAGGCCCUUGCUUAAAUCACAUCCUAACACCUGUGAACUGUAAGACGUAUGAUGAGGUCUUUGGCCAAGUCAUCGGCUGCCCAUUUUUAACAAACAAUUAAUGUAACAAACGUAGUCUUAUUAUAACCUAAUA